CACAAGCUGAGGCAGAGCAAACGUUCCUUUCUGUCAAAGUUGGAAAUGAAGUGACUUUGCCUUGUGGAAGCAGGAGAGAAACUCAAGAUAAUUUGGAUGAAGCUAGUUGGGUCUUCAACAAUAGAGAUAAAAUAACAACAACAACACUAGUCAAGCUUGUAAAUUCUAAAAAGCAACAGAAAACUGCAUCUGGCAGACAGAGUGUUACAGAAGACUUUUCCCUGGUUCUACAUAAUGUCACAGAGAAUGACGUGGGUCAGUACAACUGCCUCUGGACCAUAUCAAGACAAAUGCAUCGUUCCACGCUAUUUCUGUCUAUAAUUAAUUUGGUUGAGCAGAAGAGCAAUGAUACAGUCACCUUGUUCUGCUCUGUGUUAGAAUAUGAUCUCUGUCUUCAUGAGGUUGAAUGGCUUUAUGAGGGGAAAGAGGAAAAACCCUCAGAUAUGAAUAUGUUCCAACAUGCAUGCUCCGCCACUGUGACAUUUCCAACAUCUUACAUUCAUGAGAAAUUAGACAUUUAUCAGUUACUGCAGUGUAAAGCCACAAACAGUAUCACUGCGAAAGUUCAGCAGUUUCCUUUUAGCGCUCAGUCCUUAGGUGAUAAUCUAACAAAAACAAAUAAAGCGGCAAAUGAACCGACCCUGUCAUCAGAUCCUCAAUUAACAUCACAGACAACUUUACCUUGGUGGUAUAUUAUCUGUCCUUUACUCCUAGUUGCACUGU